GGUUAAGUUAAUAAGGGCGCACGGUGGAUGCCUUGGCACUAGAAGCCGAUGAAGGACGUGACUAACGACGAAAUGCUUUGGGGAGCUGUAAGUGAGCAAAGAUCCAGAGAUGUCCGAAUGGGGGAACCCGGCAGGUAAUGCCUGUCACUCAUUACUGUUAAGGUAAUGAAGAGGAAGACGCAGUGAACUGAAACAUCUAAGUAGCUGCAGGAAGAGAAAGCAAAAGCGAUUGCCUUAGUAGCGGCGAGCGAAAUGGCAAGAGGGCAAACCGAAGAGUUUACUCUUCGGGGUUGUAGGACUGCGAUGUGGACUUAAAGAUUAUAGAAGAACUACCUGGGAAGGUAGGCCAAAGAGAGUAACAGCCUCGUAUUCGAAAUAGUCUUUAUACCUAGCAGUAUCCUGAGUACGGCGAGACACGAGAAAUCUCGUCGGAAUCUGGGAGGACCAUCUCCCAACCCUAAAUACUCUCUAGUGACCGAUAGUGAACCAGUACCGUGAGGGAAAGGUGAAAAGCACCCCGGGAGGGGAGUGAAAUAGAACCUGAAACCGUGUGCCUACAACAAGUUCGAGCCCGUUAAUGGGUGAGAGCGUGCCUUUUGUAGAAUGAACCGGCGAGUUACGAUAUGAUGCGAGGUUAAGUUGAAGAGACGGAGCCGCAGGGAAACCGAGUCUUAAUAGGGCGCCAUAGUAUCAUGUCGUAGACCCGAAACCAUGUGACCUACCCAUGAGCAGGUUGAAGGUGAGGUAAAACUCACUGGAGGACCGAACCAGGGCACGUUGAAAAGUGCUUGGAUGACUUGUGGGUAGCGGAGAAAUUCCAAACGAACUUGGAGAUAGCUGGUUCUCUCCGAAAUAGCUUUAGGGCUAGCGUCGAUGUUAAGUCUCUUGGAGGUAGAGCACUGUUUGGGUGAGGGGUCCAUCCCGGAUUACCAAUCUCAGAUAAACUCCGAAUGCCAAUGAGAUAUAAUCGGCAGUCAGACUGCGAGUGCUAAGAUCCGUAGUCGAAAGGGAAACAGCCCAGACCACCAGCUAAGGUCCCAAAAUAUAUGUUAAGUGGAAAAGGAUGUGGGGUUGCACAGACAACUAGGACCGGGGCUAAAACAUAUUACCGAAGCUGUGGAUACCUUUAUAGGUAUGGUAGGAGAGCGUUCUAUGUGCGAAGAAGGUGUACCGUGAGGAGUGCUGGAGCGCAUAGAAGUGAGAAUGCCGGUAUGAGUAGCGAAAGACAGGUGAGAAUCCUGUCCACCGUAAGACUAAGGUUUCCAGGGGAAGGCUCGUCCGCCCUGGGUUAGUCGGGACCUAAGGAGAGACCGAAAGGUGUAUCCGAUGGCCAACAGGUUGAUAUUCCUGUACUAGAGUAUAUAGUGAUGGAGGGACGCAGUAGGCUAACUAAACCAGACGAAUGGAAGAGUCUGGCCAAGCAGUGAGGUGUGAUAUGAGUCAAAUGCUUAUAUCUCUAACAUUGAGCUGUGAUGGGGAGCGAAGUUUAGUAGCGAAGUUAGUGAUGUCACACUGCCAAGAAAAGCUUCUAGCGUUAAUUAUACUCUACCCGUACCGCAAACCGACACAGGUAGUCGAGGCGAGUAGCCUCAGGUGAGCGAGAGAACUCUCGUUAAGGAACUCGGCAAAAUGGCCCCGUAACUUCGGGAGAAGGGGCGCUGACUGAUAGUCAGCCGCAGUGAAUAGGCCCAAGCAACUGUUUAUCAAAAACACAGCUCUCUGCUAAAUCGUAAGAUGAUGUAUAGGGGGUGACGCCUGCCCGGUGCUGGAAGGUUAAGAGGAGUGCUUAGCGUAAGCGAAGGUAUGAAUUGAAGCCCCAGUAAACGGCGGCCGUAACUAUAACGGUCCUAAGGUAGCGAAAUUCCUUGUCGGGUAAGUUCCGACCCGCACGAAAGGCGUAAUGAUUUGGGCACUGUCUCAACGAGAGACUCGGUGAAAUUUUAGUACCUGUGAAGAUGCAGGUUACCCGCGACAGGACGGAAAGACCCCAUGGAGCUUUACGGACGCCAGUUUCGAGUGAGGCGUUGUUGGGAUACUACCCUUGUGUUAUGGCUACUCUAACCCAGAUAGGUUAUCCCUAUCGGAGACAGUGUCUGACGGGCAGUUUGACUGGGGCGGUCGCCUCCUAAAAGGUAACGGAGGCGCCCAAAGGUUCCCUCAGAAUGGUUGGAAAUCAUUCGCAGAGUGUAAAGGUAUAAGGGAGCUUGACUGCGAGAGCUACAACUCGAGCAGGGACGAAAGUCGGGCUUAGUGAUCCGGUGGUUCCGCAUGGAAGGGCCAUCGCUCAACGGAUAAAAGCUACCCUGGGGAUAACAGGCUUAUC
rnacentral:rRNA from 1 species